AUGAAAAGAACACCAGGCAGAUGGUGUGUUCUAAAGAAGAAGGCAGGGGCAGAGAGAGACAAGGGGAGGGGCAAGAAAGAAGGAGGAGGAGAGGGAGAAGACAACACCACGCCCACACACUCCCACAGCCUCACAGGAUGCAACAUUCCCCCCCAGAUUGUCAGUCCCUUUCUUGUGCUGGAUAACCAGAUCAUAAUCCUGCACCAGCACUGCCCAGCGCAUCAGUCGCUGGUUGUGGUCGUACAUGCGUUGGAGGAAAGUAAGGGGAUUGUGAUCUGUAUACACCGUUACUGGAAAGGAGCUAGAGGCCACAUACACAGUGAAGUUUCAGACCACUUAUAAAAUGUGUUCAAUGUGCUGCCUAUUGUGUUGGAUUGUCAAUGCAACCCUCUUCUCCCACUCUUCACACACUGAUAGCAACACCGCAGGAGAAAUGCCAGCACAGGCAUCCAGUAUCCGUAGUUUCAGGUGCUGCACAUCUCGUAUCUUCACACCAUAGACAAUUGCCUUCAGAUGACCCCCAAAGAUAAAAGUCUAAGGGGGUCAGAUUGGGAGACCUUGGGGGCCAUUCAACUGGCCCACGACGACCAAUCCACUUUCCAGGAAACUGUUCAUCUAGGAAUGCUCAGACCCAGCACCCAUAAUGUGGUGGUGCAACAUCUCGCUGGAAAAACUCAGGGAACGUGCCAGCUUCAGUGCAUAAAGAGGGAAACACAUCAUCAUGUAGCAAUUUCAAAUAUCCAGUGGCCUUGAGGUUUCCAUUGAUGAAGAAUGGACCCACUAUCCACUAUAACUAAAUGUAUUGUUUGCAUGUGAAAAUGUUAAUAACUAGCUGGGAUUUGUUUAUGAGCAGUAAUUUUUCAAAUCUUUUCUUUUGCCCUAUCAGCACUGAUGGUGGUUAAAUCAAUCAAGUUUACAUCUCUGGCACCAAAGGUAACGAUGAAGGCAAAUGUGUGUCCUGAUCUAUGACAUUCAGCUCGAUGGUGAUUUACUCUGACCAGUAGAACACCAGUAGAAACCUUCAU
rnacentral:lncRNA from 1 species